rnacentral:rRNA from 1 species
UACGUAGGGGGCAAGCGUUGUCCGGAAUCAUUGGGCGUAAAGAGCGUGUAGGCGGCCCGGUAAGUCCGCUGUGAAAGUCCAGGGCUCAACCCUGGGAUGCCGGUGGAUACUGUCGGGCUCGAGUCCGGAAGAGGAGUGUGGAAUUCCUGGUGUAGCGGUGAAAUGCGCAGAUAUCAGGAGGAACACCGGUGGCGAAGGCGGGUCUCUGGGCCGUAACUGACGCUGAGGAGCGAAAGCGUGGGAGCGAACAGG